GAAAUGCGAUAAGUAAUGUGAAUUGCAGAAUUCAGUGAAUCAUCGAAUCUUUGAACGCACAUUGCGCCCGCCAGUAUUCUGGCGGGCAUGCCUGUUCGAGCGUCAUUUCAACCAUCAAGCCCCCGGGCUUGUGUUGGGGACCUGCGGCUGCCCGCAGGCCCUGAAAACCAGUGGCGGGCUCGCUGUCACACCGAGCGUAGUAGCAGUCACCUCGCUCAGGGCGUGCUGCGGGUUCCGGCCGUUAAAGAGCCUCACAAACCCAAGGUUGACCUCGGAUCAGGUAGGAAGACCCGCUGAACUUAAGC
rnacentral:misc_RNA from 1 species